rnacentral:tRNA from 1 species
GUCUCGGUGGCCAAGUUGGUUUAAGGCGCCAGACUGUAAUAAUCUGGAUAUCGGGUGUUCGAAUCACCCCCGGGAGA